rnacentral:lncRNA from 1 species
CAACCGUCGUCAACAAUUCGCUAUCAAGAAUCCGCUAUCAAGAAUUCGUCUGACCCGACCCAUCGUCGAACUUCUUCACGGUGAGCCAGUUUAGUUCUCUUUCCGACUGCGGAACACCAAAAUUUUGUCGAGUGAUUUUGAAUUGUUGAAUUUUAGAUUUCAAAAAUAUCAAAGUUUUGAAGCCAACAAGUAUUUUUUAUCUGUUCGAUCAAUUUCUUGGUUUGUUAAGUAGUAGGUGUGAAGAUCGAUCAAAUUGUUAGACGUAGUGACAGGACGCAUUCAUCAUGUUCGAUGAAAUGUCUCAGUCAGUUUUUUAUUCUAAUUUUAGUUUUUUUUUUGUAGAUACGGGUGAAAAGCAAGUCAAAGAAUGGAACCGUCAAACAAUGAAGGCAUUAUGUUCAGUAAACACGAAUUGGGGAGGUUUAGCCUCGACAACAGGUUUGCACUUUCUCACUUUUAAAUUUAAUUUUUUAAUGUCGGUUUGGCUACGAAAAGUUGAGAAUCGUAAGUAUUUCUUGGGGUUCGUUACUUCUAUAUAUAUGCUAAAUCAUGAUCUUAAUUUGUUUCUAUGGUAGAAUGGUGCUAGUGUGCUCCGGUGAAACUUGCUCGCAGCUUUGUAGGCACUUAUGUGGUACUACGGAGUUCGAUUUUGCGAAGGCAACAUAUAUUACACCAGAACUGAAGUUCAAAG